rnacentral:rRNA from 1 species
UCUGUCACNGACGCUGAGGCUCGAAAGCGUGGGUAGCGANCAGGAUUAGAUACCCUGGUAGUNCACGCCGUAAACGAUGAGUGCUAGGUGUUAGGCCCUUUCCGGGGCUUAGUGCCGGAGCUAACGCAAUAAGCACUCCGCCUGGGGAGUACGACCGCAAGGUUGAAACUCAAAGGAAUUGACGGGGGCCCGCACAAGCGGUGGAGCAUGUGGUUUAAUUCGAAGCAACGCGAAGAACCUUACCAGGUCUUGACAUCCCGAUGCUAUUCUUAGAGAUAGGAAGUUACUUCGGUACAUCGGAGACAGGUGGUGCAUGGUUGUCGUCAGCUCGUGUCGUGAGAUGUUGGGUUAAGUCCCGCAACGAGCGCAACCCUUAUUGUUAGUUGCCAUCAUUAAGUUGGGCACUCUAGCGAGACUGCCGGUAAUAAACCGGAGGAAGGUGGGGAUGACGUCAAAUCAUCAUGCCCCUUAUGACCUGGGCUACACACGUGCUACAAUGGUCGGUACAACGAGUUGCGAGCCGGUGACGGCAAGCUAAUCUCUGAAAGCCGAUCUCAGUUCGGAUUGGAGGCUGCAACUCGCCUCCAUGAAGUCGGAAUCGCUAGUAAUCGCGGAUCAGCACGCCGCGGUGAAUACGUUCCCGGGCCUUGUACACACCGCCCGUCACACCAC